GUGGGGAAUAUUGGGCAAUGGGCGCAAGCCUGACCCAGCAACGCCGCGUGAGGGAAGAAGGCUUUCGGGUUGUAAACCUCUGUCCUUGGUGACGAAACAAAUGACGGUAGCCAAGGAGGAAGCCCCGGCUAACUACGUGCCAGCAGCCGCGGUAAUACGUAGGGGGCGAGCGUUGUCCGGAAUUACUGGGCGUAAAGGGUGCGUAGGUGGCCUUUUAAGUUGGAUGUGAAAUACCCGGGCUUAACUUGGGGGGUGCAUCUAAUACUGGAGGGCUAGAGUGCAGGAGAGGAAAGCGGAAUUCCUAGUGUAGCGGUGAAAUGCGUAGAUAUUAGGAGGAACACCAGUGGCGAAGGCGGCUUUCUGGACUGUAACUGACACUGAGGCACGAAAGCGUGGGGAGCAAACAGGAUUAGAUACCCCGGUAGUCC
rnacentral:rRNA from 1 species